rnacentral:rRNA from 2 species
CUUGACGACCAUAGAGCAUUGGAACCACCUGAUCCCAUCCCGAACUCAGCAGUGAAACGAUGCAUCGCCGAUGGUAGUGUGGGGUUUCCCCAUGUG